UACGUAGGUGGCGAGCGUUGUCCGGAAUUACUGGGUGUAAAGCGCGCGUAGGCGGCUUGUCGCGUCGUCUGUGAAAUCCCACGGCUCAACUGUGGGCUUGCAGUCGAUACGGGCAGGCUGGAGUUCGGUAGGGGAGACUGGAAUUCCUGGUGUAGCGGUGAAAUGCGCAGAUAUCAGGAGGAACACCGGUGGCGAAGGCGGGUCUCUGGGCCGAUACUGACGCUGAGGAGCGAAAGCGUGGGGAGCGAACAGG
rnacentral:rRNA from 1 species